UCCCAGGUGGCUCAGUGGCAAAGAAUCUGCCUUCUAAAGCAGGAGACUUGGGUUCAAUUCCUGGGUUGGGAA
rnacentral:tRNA from 1 species